UCACUCACUUCAUCUUCUCCGUUACCUCUUCUCCCGAUCUUCAUCACUAACUAACAAUCAAACCUCCUCUUUACUCCCAUCUUUAAGGUAUUUUGUUUCACCCCUCUCUCUAUCUAUUUCUUAUAAAUAGGCAUCUCUAUCGCCAUGAAUCUUCAAAGAAGCUUUACGCCUCUCCUCUCCAAAAACGGCCAAAAAAUCAAACAAUUGCCGCGACCGCUCUCCCCUCCCACCGCCGUCCCUCAGGGAUUACAAGAGGCGGCCUAGCGGGAGUCCUCCGCCGCCGUACAGAGACAGGCGGCACUCUCGGAGGGACGAUAGUGGAUAUGAUGGUCGGCGUGGUGGUUAUGGACCUCCCGAUCGAAGCUUAUUUAAAGACAUUUCGUUGUUGUUGGCUUACCUAAUAGUUGUAGAAGAUCAAAUUGCGUUUCUCACUCUUCAAUAUUUAUUAGGAAUGAUAGAUUUGGAUAUGAGAAUGACCGUGAGAUGGGAGGAAGGCAUGGUUACGGUGAUAAAAAGGCCUCCUGGCCGCUUUAUGGGGCAUUAUCAAGACUGGGAGGGAGGUCGUGGAAGUUAUGGUGAUGCCUCUAACAGAGGAAGUACUCAAAGGUUAAAAGAUAAGUAUCAUCUAACCAACUUGCAUAGAAAAGAGGAAUGAACAUGCCCGGAAGGUGGCGAAGGACUUCUUAGUUGACUUACAGAGCGGGAAUCUUGAUUUGUCCUGCAGUGACAGCAUUGAAUAAAACAAGUGAGCCAAAGUCUGAGGAUGAAGCAGAUGCUGAGGAUUGAACUUCCUUCAGCAUCUUCUGUCUUGGCGUGUGUACUGAUCAUAUGUUUUUGAAAAAGUAUGUGUGUAAGUAUGAUGACAAGGUGUUUGUGGACGAGUUAAUGGCUAUCUUCACCAAAGAUGGUGACUCAUAGAUCAGAAAGCUUUGUUUUCUCCUUCCCAUUAAUUUUAGAUUUGUCUAUGAAAUUUUGUUGCCAUUCAAACUGUCGUAAUCUUAUCAAUUGAUAUCAAGUGAUGCUUUGGUUGAUAUGAUAAAGAGUUCUUUUUAUAAGUAAAAUUUAUGCUAUAUUUUAUAAAAAUAAA